GCCUGGGUGGCUCAGUUGAUUAAGCGUCCGACUUCAGCUCAGGUCAUGAUCUCAUGGUCCGUGAGUUCGAGCCCCACUUCAGGCU
rnacentral:tRNA from 1 species